AGUCGAGCGGAAGGCCCUUCGGGGUACUCGAGCGGCGAACGGGUGAGUAACACGUGAGCAACCUGCCCUAGGCUUUGGGAUAACCCCGGGAAACCGGGGCUAAUACCGAAUAUGACUUCUGGUCGCAUGACCGGUGGUGGAAAGUUUUUCGGCCUGGGAUGGGCUCGCGGCCUAUCAGCUUGUUGGUGGGGUGAUGGCCUACCAAGGCGACGACGGGUAGCCGGCCUGAGAGGGCGACCGGCCACACUGGGACUGAGACACGGCCCAGACUCCUACGGGAGGCAGCAGUGGGGAAUAUUGCACAAUGGGCGGAAGCCUGAUGCAGCGACGCCGCGUGAGGGAUGACGGCCUUCGGGUUGUAAACCUCUUUCAGCAGGGACGAAGCGUAAGUGACGGUACCUGCAGAAGAAGCGCCGGCCAACUACGUGCCAGCAGCCGCGGUAAGACGUAGGGCGCGAGCGUUGUCCGGAUUUAUUGGGCGUAAAGAGCUCGUAGGCGGCUUGUCGCGUCGACUGUGAAAACCCGCAGCUCAACUGCGGGCCUGCAGUCGAUACGGGCAGGCUAGAGUUCGGUAGGGGAGACUGGAAUUCCUGGUGUAGCGGUGAAAUGCGCA
rnacentral:rRNA from 1 species